UUUCUUUCUUCUUAGAACAACCUCCAAAUAACCAAGGCCAGUCGACCCUGCAGCCUUUGCCACCUUCUCACAAGCAACAUUCAGCACAGCAUCACCCAUCCAUCACCUCACUUAACAGAAACUCACUGACAAAUAGGAGGAAUCAGAGUCCGGCCCCGCCGGCUGCUUUGCCCGCCGAGCUGCAAACCACACCUGAGUCAGUCCAGCUGCAGGACAGCUGGGUCCUUGGCAGUAAUGCACCACUGGAAAGCAGAGAAUUAGAAAAUCAAGCAGUCCUUGCAAAUGGUCAUGACAGCCUUAUAGAGAUGGAUGUGUUUUCUCCAACAUAUCACGAUAGCAGUUAUGGUUGCAUGUCUGCAGUUGAGUUUGCCAUCCCAGUAAGUGCGGCUCGAGUUGAACCAGAAAGGAAUUUUAACAGAUUCUGGAGAUUCUUUCUGUCACAUUCAAACAGGUGAGGAAACAAUAUCAAAUGUAAUGGCAAAACAAAGACCUGGAUGACUGUAUAGUGUCUGUAUGCCACAUCUCUGAUAAUACUGAUUGCAGAAAGAGAAGUCCAGCUCCAAAAAGGCCUGUGUGGAAAUGAGUACCAUUAAA